GGUGUCAUGGUUGUCGUCAGCUCGUGUCGUGAGAUUGUUCGGGUUAAGUCCCGCAACGAGCCGCUAACCCCUAUUGUUAGUUGCCAUCAUUCAGUUGGGCACUCUAGCGAGACUGCCGGUAAUAAACCGGAGGAAGGUGGGGAUGACGUCAAGUCCUCAUGGCCCUUAUGGGUAGGGCUUCACACGUCAUACAAUGGUCGGUACAGAGGGUUGCCAAGCCGCGAGGUGGAGCCAAUCCCUUAAAGCCGAUCGUAGUCCGGAUCGUAGUCUGCAACUCGACUACGUGAAGUCGGAAUCGCUAGUAAUCGCAGAUCAGCAUGCUGCGGUGAAUACGUUCCCGGGUCUU
rnacentral:rRNA from 1 species